GAUAAACAACAUUGUUUUUUUUCAACUGGCAUUGUGCUAUAUAUACCGGUGUAAUAGUCUACACAUUUUUAAAGCGUCAACGUUGUAUUGGUUUGAGCAUAAAAAGUUUGGAAAUAAUAACAGUCGUGAACUACUUGAUAACUAAAUACCUCAGAAACAGAAAGAUGUCCACGCUAUGGCUUGCAAUUUUCCUGAUAGCGGCAAUACUUUUGUGUAUGAUCUUGCCGAGCGCCUCACAGGUCUUUUAUCCUGCCAUGUAUCCGUAUUAUUAUUACUCAGCGCUCUUUGGUAGAUAUCCCUACAUGUUUUUUGGAGGGGAUUAAAAUUCGGGAGUAUGCCAUUCAGAAAUUACAUCAGCAAGUCGAGAAAUCGUCUAAAUCUCCGUCAUUGUAUAUUUUCAUGAAGUGUUUUCUAUAAUAAAUUAUACAUGAGCUUUUAUCGCAGAAUACAUUAUUAAUUUCUGUAAAAUCAAAGUCGAGAAAUUAUCUAAGUCUCCGUCACUGUAUGCUUCAAUCAAAUGUUUCUACAAUAAAUUGUACAAGUGAGCUUUUAUAGCAGAAUACAUUAAUUAUUUAUGUAAAA